rnacentral:misc_RNA from 1 species
UGACGUGGGGGGGUUGAUCCCCCCCCCCCGGCACUGGGUGCAAGCCCCAGAAACCGACGCCUAUCUAAGUAGACGCAAUGACUCGGCGCCGACUCGGCGACCGGCCAAAAGGUGGUGGAUGGGUGAUGACAGGGUUGGUAGGUCGUAAAUCCCGGUCAUCCUGGUAGCCACUAUAGGUGGGUCUUAAGAGAAGGUCAAGAUUCCUCUUACGCCUGCGGCGAGACCGCGCACGGUCCACAGGUGUUGGCCCUACCGGUGUGAAUAAGGGCCCGACAUCAGGCAUGUCGUUAAACCGAGCCCGUUACCCGCCUGGGCAAACGACGCCCACGUACGGUCCACGUCGCCCUUCAAUGUCUCUCUUGACCAAUAGGUUUAUCCGGCGAGUUGGCAAGGACCAGUGGGGGCCGGGGGCUAUGGGGAAGGACCCCAAGCCCUGCCCAUCCCGGCGGGCCGGGAAAUGCAUGGGGCCACCCAGCUCCGCGGCGGCCUGCAGCCGGGGUAGCCCAAGAAUCCUUCGGGUGAGGGCGGGUGGCAUUUUCUUUUUCUGUACCAUCAUGGCAGUCCUUCUGCUCCUUCUCGUGGUUGAGGCCGGGGCCAUUUUGGCCCCGGCCACCCAUGCUUGUCGAGCGAAUGGGCAAUAUUUCCUCACAAAUUGUUGCGCCCCAGAAGACAUUGGGUUCUGCCUUGAAGGUGGAUGCCUAGUGGCGUUGGGGUGCACAGUUUGUACUGACCGAUGCUGGCCACUGUAUCAGGCGGGUUUGGCUGUGCGGCCCGGCAAGUCCGCAGCUCAGCUGGUGGGAGAACUGGGGAGCCUCUACGGGCCCUUAUCGGUCUCGGCCUACGUGGCCGGGAUCUUGGGCCUGGGUGAGGUGUACUCAGGUGUCUUAACAGUUGGUGUUGCGUUGACGCGGCGGGUCUACCCGAUGCCCAACCUCACGUGUGCAGUAGAGUGUGAGCUUAAGUGGGAAAGUGAGUUUUGGAGAUGGACUGAGCGGUUGGCCUCCAAUUACUGGAUUCUGGAAUAUCUCUGGAAGGUCCCGUUUGACUUCUGGAGGGGUGUGAUGAGCUUGACCCCCUUGCUGGUUUGCGUGGCCGCUUUGCUACUGUUGGAGCAACGGAUUGUCAUGGUCUUCCUGCUGGUGACGAUGGCCGGGAUGUCGCAAGGCGCCCCGGCCUCCGUUUUGGGGUCCCGCCCCUUUGACUACGGGUUGACAUGGCAGUCCUGUUCCUGCAGGGCGAAUGGGUCGCGUAUCCCUACUGGGGAGAAGGUGUGGGACCGUGGGAACGUCACGCUUCUGUGUGACUGCCCCAACGGCCCGUGGGUGUGGCUGCCGGCCUUUUGCCAGGCAAUAGGCUGGGGCGACCCAAUCACCCACUGGAGCCACGGACAAAAUCAGUGGCCCCUGUCAUGCCCUCAGUAUGUCUACGGGUCUGUUUCUGUCACAUGCGUGUGGGGCUCCGUGUCUUGGUUUGCCUCGACAGGCGGACGCGAUUCGAAAAUCGACGUGUGGAGUUUGGUUCCAGUUGGUUCUGCCAGCUGCACCAUAGCUGCACUCGGUUCUUCGGACCGCGAUACGGUGGUCGAGCUCUCUGAGUGGGGGGUCCCGUGCGUAACGUGUAUUCUGGAUCGUCGGCCUGCCUCGUGUGGCACCUGUGUGCGGGACUGCUGGCCCGAAACCGGGUCGGUUAGAUUCCCUUUCCAUCGGUGCGGCACAGGCCCUCGGCUGACAAAGGACUUGGAAGCUGUGCCCUUCGUCAACAGGACAACUCCCUUCACCAUAAGGGGUCCCCUGGGCAACCAGGGGAGAGGUAACCCGGUGCGGUCACCCCUGGGUUUUGGGUCCUACACCAUGACCAAAAUCCGGGACUCCUUGCAUUUGGUGAAAUGUCCCACACCAGCCAUUGAGCCUCCCACUGGGACGUUCGGGUUUUUCCCCGGAGUGCCGCCCCUCAACAACUGCAUGCUGCUGGGCACGGAAGUGUCCGAAGCAUUAGGUGGGGCUGGCCUUACGGGGGGAUUCUAUGAACCCUUGGUGCGCAGGUGUUCGGAGCUGAUGGGACGCCGAAAUCCGGUCUGCCCGGGGUAUGCAUGGCUUUCCUCGGGUCGGCCUGAUGGGUUUAUACAUGUUCAGGGACACUUGCAGGAGGUUGAUGCAGGCAACUUCAUCCCCCCUCCACGCUGGUUGCUCCUGGACUUUGUAUUUGUCCUAUUAUACCUGAUGAAGCUGGCUGAGGCACGGCUGGUCCCGUUGAUCUUGCUUCUGCUGUGGUGGUGGGUCAACCAGUUGGCGGUCCUUGGGCUGCCAGCUGUGCACGCCGCCGUGGCUGGCGAGGUUUUUGUGGGCCCGGCCCUGUCGUGGUGCUUAGGUCUCCCCACUGUUAGCAUGAUACUCGGUCUGGCAAACCUUGUGUUGUACUUUCGGUGGAUGGGGCCGCAGCGCCUCAUGUUCCUCGUGUUGUGGAAGCUCGCUCGGGGGGCUUUCCCGCUGGCUCUUCUGAUGGGGAUCUCGGCGACCCGCGGGCGCACCUCCGUGCUCGGGGCCGAGUUCUGCUUCGAUGUCACAUUCGAGGUGGACACGUCGGUGCUGGGCUGGGUGGUGGCCAGUGUGGUAGCCUGGGCCAUUGCGCUCCUGAGCUCGAUGAGCGCGGGAGGGUGGAGGCACAAGGCCGUGAUCUACAGAACGUGGUGUAAAGGGUACCAGGCUAUUCGCCAAAGGGUGGUGAGGUCCCCUCUCGGGGAGGGGCGGCCAACCAAACCCCUGACGUUUGCCUGGUGCUUGGCCUCAUACAUCUGGCCAGAUGCUGUGAUGUUGGUGGUGGUUGCCUUGGUGCUUCUGUUCGGCCUGUUCGACGCGUUGGACUGGGCCCUGGAGGAGCUCUUGGUUUCCCGGCCCUCGUUGCGGCGUUUGGCGCGGGUGGUUGAGUGCUGUGUGAUGGCGGGUGAGAAGGCCACAACUGUCCGACUGGUUUCCAAGAUGUGCGCGAGAGGGGCCUACUUGUUCGACCAUAUGGGCUCUUUCUCGCGCGCCGUCAAGGAGCGCUUGUUGGAAUGGGACGCGGCUUUGGAACCACUGUCAUUCACUAGGACGGACUGUCGCAUCAUAAGAGAUGCCGCGAGAACCCUGUCCUGCGGACAGUGCGUCAUGGGGCUACCCGUGGUAGCGCGCCGCGGUGAUGAGGUGCUCAUCGGCGUCUUUCAGGAUGUGAAUCAUUUGCCUCCCGGGUUCGUCCCGACCGCGCCCGUUGUCAUCCGGCGGUGCGGGAAGGGGUUCCUGGGGGUCACUAAGGCUGCCUUGACAGGUCGGGAUCCUGACUUGCAUCCAGGGAACGUCAUGGUGUUGGGGACUGCGACGUCGCGAAGCAUGGGAACGUGUUUGAACGGCUUGCUCUUCACAACUUUCCAUGGGGCUUCAUCCCGAACCAUCGCUACACCUGUGGGGGCCCUAAAUCCCAGGUGGUGGUCGGCAAGUGAUGAUGUCACGGUGUACCCCCUCCCGGAUGGGGCAACCUCGUUAACACCCUGCACUUGCCAGGCUGAGUCCUGUUGGGUCAUCCGAUCAGACGGGGCUUUAUGCCAUGGCUUGAGCAAGGGGGACAAGGUAGAGCUGGAUGUGGCCAUGGAGGUCUCUGAUUUCCGUGGCUCCUCUGGUUCACCUGUCUUGUGUGACGAGGGACACGCAGUAGGAAUGCUCGUGUCAGUGCUUCACUCGGGUGGUCGGGUCACCGCGGCUCGAUUCACUAGGCCGUGGACCCAAGUUCCAACAGAUGCCAAAACUACCACUGAACCCCCUCCGGUGCCAGCCAAAGGAGUUUUCAAAGAGGCCCCGUUGUUUAUGCCUACGGGCGCGGGAAAGAGCACGCGCGUCCCGUUGGAGUACGGCAACAUGGGGCACAAGGUCUUAAUCCUAAACCCCUCAGUGGCUACUGUGAGAGCCAUGGGCCCUUACAUGGAGCGACUGGCGGGCAAACAUCCAAGCAUAUACUGUGGCCAUGACACCACUGCUUUCACGAGGAUUACUGACUCCCCCCUGACGUAUUCUACCUAUGGGAGGUUUCUGGCCAACCCUAGGCAGAUGCUCCGGGGGGUUUCGGUGGUCAUCUGUGACGAGUGCCACAGCCAUGACUCAACUGUGUUACUGGGCAUCGGGCGAGUACGGGAGCUGGCGCGCGGCUGUGGAGUGCAGCUUGUGCUCUACGCCACUGCCACACCUCCCGGGUCCCCUAUGACCCAGCACCCAUCAAUUAUUGAGACCAAACUGGAUGUGGGAGAGAUCCCCUUCUAUGGGCAUGGCAUACCCCUCGAGCGAAUGCGAACCGGUAGGCAUCUUGUAUUCUGCCAUUCCAAGGCGGAGUGUGAGCGCCUUGCCGGCCAGUUUUCCGCGAGGGGGGUCAACGCCAUCGCCUAUUAUAGGGGAAAGGACAGUUCUAUCAUCAAGGACGGUGACCUGGUGGUGUGUGCCACAGACGCACUAUCCACCGGGUACACUGGGAACUUCGAUUCUGUCACUGAUUGUGGGUUAGUGGUGGAGGAGGUCGUUGAGGUGACCCUUGAUCCCACCAUUACCAUCUCCCUGCGGACAGUGCCUGCGUCGGCAGAAUUGUCGAUGCAACGGCGAGGACGCACGGGUAGAGGCAGGUCUGGACGCUACUACUACGCAGGGGUGGGCAAAGCCCCUGCGGGUGUGGUGCGCUCAGGUCCUGUCUGGUCAGCGGUGGAAGCCGGAGUGACCUGGUACGGAAUGGAACCUGACUUGACAGCAAACCUACUGAGACUUUACGACGACUGCCCUUACACCGCAGCCGUCGCGGCUGACAUCGGCGAGGCCGCCGUGUUUUUCUCCGGGCUUGCCCCGUUGAGGAUGCACCCCGAUGUUAGCUGGGCAAAAGUGCGCGGCGUCAAUUGGCCCCUCUUGGUGGGUGUUCAGCGGACCAUGUGCCGGGAAACACUGUCUCCCGGUCCAUCGGACGACCCCCAAUGGGCAGGUCUGAAGGGCCCAAAUCCUGUUCCACUACUGCUGAGGUGGGGCAAUGAUUUACCAUCUAAGGUGGCCGGCCACCACAUUGUUGACGACCUGGUUCGUAGGCUCGGUGUGGCGGAGGGUUACGUCCGCUGCGACGCGGGGCCCAUCUUGAUGGUGGGCCUUGCCAUAGCAGGGGGCAUGAUCUACGCGUCUUACACCGGGUCAUUGGUGGUGGUGACAGACUGGGAUGUGAAGGGGGGUGGCAGCCCCCUUUAUCGGCAUGGAGACCAGGCCACGCCCCAGCCGGUUGUGCAGGUCCCCCCGGUAGACCAUCGGCCGGGGGGGGAAUCUGCGCCAUCGGAUGCCAAGACAGUGACAGAUGCGGUGGCGGCCAUCCAGGUGGAUUGCGAUUGGUCAGUUAUGACCCUGUCGAUCGGGGAAGUACUGUCCUUAGCUCAGGCUAAGACGGCCGAGGCCUACACAGCAACCGCCAAGUGGCUCGCUGGCUGCUACACGGGGACGCGGGCCGUCCCUACUGUUUCAAUUGUUGACAAGCUCUUUGCCGGAGGGUGGGCUGCCGUGGUGGGCCAUUGCCACAGCGUCAUAGCUGCGGCGGUGGCGGCCUACGGGGCUUCCAGAAGCCCGCCGUUGGCGGCCGCGGCUUCCUACCUGAUGGGAUUGGGCGUCGGAGGUAACGCGCAGACGCGCUUGGCAUCCGCUCUCCUAUUGGGGGCUGCUGGUACCGCCCUGGGCACGCCUGUCGUGGGACUAACCAUGGCAGGUGCGUUCAUGGGGGGUGCCAGCGUCUCCCCCUCCUUGGUCACUAUUCUACUAGGGGCCGUGGGAGGUUGGGAGGGCGUUGUCAACGCGGCAAGCCUUGUCUUCGACUUUAUGGCGGGGAAGCUUUCAUCAGAAGAUCUGUGGUAUGCCAUCCCGGUGCUAACCAGUCCUGGGGCGGGCCUUGCGGGGAUCGCUCUUGGUCUGGUUUUGUACUCAGCUAACAACUCUGGCACUACCACUUGGCUGAACCGUCUGCUGACUACGUUGCCGAGGUCCUCGUGCAUUCCUGACAGCUACUUCCAGCAGGCUGACUACUGCGACAAGGUUUCGGCCGUGCUCCGCCGAUUGAGCCUGACCCGCACAGUGGUGGCCCUGGUCAACAGGGAACCCAAGGUGGAUGAGGUGCAGGUGGGGUACGUCUGGGAUCUCUGGGAGUGGAUCAUGCGACAGGUUCGCAUGGUCAUGGCCAGGCUCCGGGCCCUCUGCCCCGUGGUGUCACUCCCGUUGUGGCAUUGCGGGGAGGGUUGGUCCGGGGAAUGGCUGUUGGACGGUCAUGUGGAGAGCCGCUGUCUUUGUGGAUGUGUGAUAACCGGUGACGUUUUGAAUGGGCAACUCAAAGAACCAGUUUACUCUACCAAGCUGUGCAGGCACUAUUGGAUGGGGACCGUUCCUGUGAACAUGCUGGGUUACGGCGAAACAUCCCCUCUCCUGGCUUCCGACACUCCAAAGGUGGUUCCUUUUGGGACGUCGGGCUGGGCUGAGGUGGUGGUGACCCCUACCCACGUGGUGAUCAGGAGGACCUCUUCCUACAAGUUGCUGCGCCAGCAAAUCCUAUCAGCUGCUGUUGCUGAGCCCUAUUAUGUUGAUGGCAUACCGGUCUCAUGGGACGCAGAUGCUCGUGCACCUGCUAUGGUUUAUGGCCCUGGGCAAAGUGUUACCAUUGACGGGGAGCGCUACACCCUGCCGCACCAGUUGCGGCUUAGGAAUGUGGCGCCCUCUGAGGUUUCAUCCGAGGUGUCCAUAGACAUUGGGACGGAGACUGAAGACUCAGAACUGACUGAGGCCGACCUGCCACCAGCAGCUGCUGCUCUCCAAGCGAUCGAGAAUGCUGCGAGGAUUCUUGAACCGCACAUUGAUGUCAUCAUGGAGGACUGCAGUACACCCUCUCUUUGUGGGAGUAGCCGAGAGAUGCCUGUGUGGGGAGAAGACGUCCCCCGCACUCCAUCGCCAGCACUUAUCUCGGUUACCGAGAGCAGCUCAGAUGAGAAGACCCCGUCGGUGUCCUCUUCGCAGGAGGAUACCCCGUCCUCAGACUCAUUCGAGGUCAUCCAAGAGUCCGAGACAGCUGAAGGGGAGGAAAGCGUCUUCAACGUGGCUCUUUCCGUAUUAAAAGCCUUGUUUCCACAGAGCGAUGCUACCAGAAAGCUUACCGUCAAGAUGUCUUGCUGUGUCGAGAAGAGCGUCACACGCUUCUUUUCGUUAGGGUUGACGGUGGCCGACGUGGCUAGCCUGUGUGAAAUGGAAAUCCAGAACCAUACAGCCUAUUGUGACAAGGUGCGCACUCCGCUUGAAUUGCAGGUUGGGUGCUUGGUGGGCAAUGAACUUACCUUUGAAUGUGACAAGUGUGAGGCCAGGCAAGAGACCUUGGCUUCCUUCUCCUACAUCUGGUCUGGAGUGCCAUUGACUAGGGCCACUCCGGCUAAACCACCUGUGGUGAGGCCGGUGGGGUCCCUGUUAGUGGCUGACACUACUAAAGUGUAUGUUACCAACCCAGACAAUGUGGGGAGGAGGGUAGACAAGGUGACCUUCUGGCGCGCUCCUAGGGUUCAUGACAAAUUCCUUGUGGACUCGAUCGAGCGUGCUAAGAGGGCCGCUCAAGCCUGCCUAAGCAUGGGUUACACUUAUGAGGAGGCAAUAAGGACUGUAAGGCCACAUGCUGCCAUGGGCUGGGGAUCUAAGGUGUCGGUCAAGGACUUGGCCACCCCUGCGGGGAAGAUGGCGGUUCACGACCGGCUUCAGGAGAUACUUGAAGGGACGCCAGUCCCCUUUACUCUUACUGUGAAAAAGGAGGUGUUCUUCAAAGACCGUAAGGAGGAGAAGGCCCCCCGCCUCAUUGUGUUCCCCCCCCUGGACUUCCGGAUAGCUGAAAAGCUUAUCUUGGGAGAUCCAGGGCGGGUGGCCAAGGCGGUGUUGGGGGGGGCUUAUGCCUUCCAGUACACCCCAAACCAGCGGGUUAGGGAGAUGCUCAAACUGUGGGAAUCAAAGAAAACACCUUGCGCCAUCUGUGUGGAUGCCACGUGCUUCGACAGUAGUAUUACUGAAGAGGACGUGGCAUUGGAGACGGAGCUAUAUGCUCUGGCUUCCGACCAUCCAGAUUGGGUGCGAGCGUUGGGGAAAUACUAUGCCUCAGGCACCAUGGUCACCCCCGAGGGGGUGCCCGUGGGUGAGAGGUAUUGUAGAUCCUCCGGCGUCUUGACCACUAGUGCGAGCAACUGCUUGACUUGCUACAUCAAGGUGAAAGCCGCUUGUGAGAGGGUGGGGCUGAAGAACGUCUCACUCCUCAUAGCCGGCGAUGACUGUUUGAUCAUAUGCGAACGGCCGAUGUGUGAUCCUAGUGACGCCUUGGGUAGAGCCUUGGCUAGCUAUGGGUACGCGUGCGAGCCUUCGUAUCAUGCAUCAUUGGACACGGCCCCCUUCUGCUCCACUUGGCUUGCCGAGUGCAAUGCAGAUGGGAAGCGCCAUUUCUUCCUGACCACGGACUUUCGGAGGCCGCUCGCUCGCAUGUCGAGCGAGUACAGUGACCCUAUGGCUUCGGCCAUUGGUUACAUCCUCCUAUAUCCCUGGCACCCCAUCACACGGUGGGUCAUCAUCCCUCAUGUGCUUACUUGCGCUUUUAGGGGUGGUGGCACACCGUCUGAUCCGGUAUGGUGCCAGGUGCAUGGUAAUUACUACAAGUUUCCACUGGACAAACUGCCUAAUAUCAUCGUGGCCCUCCACGGACCAGCAGCGUUGAGGGUCACCGCAGACACAACCAAAACAAAAAUGGAAGCCGGUAAGGUGCUGAGCGACCUCAAGCUCCCUGGCCUGGCGGUCCACCGUAAGAAGGCUGGAGCAUUGCGAACACGCAUGCUCCGGUCGCGCGGUUGGGCUGAGCUGGCUAGGGGCCUGUUGUGGCAUCCAGGCCUCCGGCUCCCCCCUCCCGAGAUUGCUGGUAUCCCGGGGGGUUUCCCCCUUUCCCCCCCCUAUAUGGGGGUGGUUCAUCAAUUGGAUUUCACAAGCCAGAGGAGUCGCUGGCGGUGGUUGGGGUUCUUAGCCCUGCUCAUCGUGGCUCUCUUCGGGUGAACUAAAUUCAUCUGUUGCGGCAAGGUCCGGUGACUGAUCAUCACUGGAGGAGGUUCCCGCCCUCCCCGCCCCAGGGGUCUCCCCGCUGGGUAAAAAGGGCCCGGCCUUGGGAGGCAUGGUGGUUACUAACCCCCUGGCAGGGUCAAAGCCUGAUGGUGCUAAUGCACUGCCACUACGGUGGCGGGUCGCUACCUUAUAGCGUAAUCCGUGACUACGGGCUGCUCGCAGAGCCCUCCCCGGAUGGGGCACAGUGCACUGUGAUCUGAAGGGGUGCACCCCGGUAAGAGCUCGGCCCAAAGGCCGGGUUCUACU